rnacentral:rRNA from 1 species
GACGAACGCUGGCGGCGUGCUUAACACAUGCAAGUCGAACGCAGUGGCGAACGGGUGAGUAACACGUGAGUAACCUGCCCCCUUCUUUGGGAUAACGCCCGGAAACGGGUGCUAAUACUGGAUAGUGGGGGAUGGGCUCGCGGCCUAUCAGCUUGUUGGUGGGGUGAUGGCCUACCAAGGUGUUGACGGGUAGCCGGCCUGAGAGGGUGACCGGUGAAGUUGGGACUGAGAUACGGCCAAGACUCCUACUGGAGGCAGCAGUGGGGGAAAUUGGACAAUAGGCGAAAUACUGAUGCAGCGACGUCGCGUGAGGGAUGUCGGACUUCGGGUUGUAAACCUCUUUCGAUCAUGGUCGGGUAGUGGGUAAAGAAGCGCCGGCUAACUACGUGCCAGCAGCCGCGGUAAUUC